rnacentral:lncRNA from 1 species
AUGGUGGUCACUUUAAGACACUUUAGCAUGUUGGGAAGGCAGUUGGAGAAGCUCUUAGCCACUGUCUUGAACUCAGGGUCUGGAGCAGGUGGCUGGAGACUUUUCUGUUCAACUCCACAGUGCUCUCUGAAUCCCAGAUACAGGCUUGAUGGAGGAGUAUCAGAGAGGUACGUGGAGGAUGGAUUGGACCAUCCUCCAACUUAGUUGGUGCAAGGACACCAAGUGUGUCCUGUGUCCUGGCUAUUGAAAUAGACAGGUAUGUAACAUUUAAAUUAGUUUCUUAC